GGCUCGGUAGCUCAGUCGGUAGAGCAGAAGACUGAAAAUCUUUGUGUCGGCGGUUCAAUUCCGUCCCGAGCCACCA
rnacentral:tRNA from 2 species